rnacentral:misc_RNA from 1 species
UCCGGUUUGUCACCGGCAGUCACCUUAGAGUGCCCAACUGAAUGCUGGCAACUAAGAUCAAGGGUUGCGCUCGUUGCGGGACUUAACCCAACAUCUCACGACACGAGCUGACGACAACCAUGCACCACCUGUCACUCUGUCCCCCGAAGGGGAACGUCCUAUCUCUAGGAUUGUCAGAGGAUGUCAAGACCUGGUAAGGUUCUUCGCGUUGCUUCGAAUUAAACCACAUGCUCCACCGCUUGUGCGGGCCCCCGUCAAUUCCUCUGAGUUUCAGUCUUGCGACCGUACUCCCCAGGCGGAGUGCUUAAUGCGUUAGCUGCAGCACUAAGGGGUUGCCUCCCACACCAAGCGUGCACCGUUUACAGCUAGGACUAC